AGAGUUUGAUCAUGGCUCAGGACUAACGCUGGCGGCGCGCCUAACACAUGCAAGUCGCACGAGAAACUCUGUAGCAAUACGGGGCGGUAAAGUGGCGAACGGGUGAGUAAUGCAUGGGUGACCUGUCCUCAAGAUGGGAAUAACCUCGCGAAAGCGGGGCUAAUACCCAAUGCCAUCUCGGUCCUACGGGAUCGGGAUGAAAGGUAGCUGUUACAGGCUGUCACUUGAGGAAGGGCCCAUGUCCCAUCAGCUAGUUGGUAGGGUAACGGCCUACCAAGGCUAUGACGGGUAGCUGGUCUGAGAGGACGACCAGCCACACUGGCACUGAGACACGGGCCAGACUCCUACGGGAGGCAGCAGUGAGGAAUCUUGCGCAAUGGACGAAAGUCUGACGCAGCGACGCCGCGUGGGGGAUGAAGGCCUUCGGGUCGUAAACCCCUUUUGGUGGGAAAGAAACGCCCCAAUGUUAAUAGCGCUGGGGUUUGACGGUACCCACAGAAAAAGCCACGGCUAACUCUGUGCCAGCAGCCGCGGUAAGACAGAGGUGGCAAGCGUUGUCCGGAAUUACUGGGCGUAAAGCGCGCGUAGGCGGCUAGAUAAGUCCGGUGUGAAAUCCCACGGCUUAACCGGGGAACGGCAUCGGGGACUGUUUAGCUUGAGGACGGGAGAGGAGAGCGGAAUUCCCGGUGUAGCGGUGAAAUGCGUAGAGAUCGGGAGGAAGGCCGGUGGCGAAGGCGGCUCUCUAGAACGUCCCUGACGCUGAGGCGCGAAAGCGUGGGGAGCAAACAGGAUUAGAUACCCUGGUAGUCCACGCCCUAAACGAUGGACACUAAGUGUCGGAGGUAUUGAGCCCUCCGGUGCCGCAGCUAACGCAUUAAGUGUCCCGCCUGGGGAGUACGGCCGCAAGGUUGAAACUCAAAGGAAUUGACGG
rnacentral:rRNA from 1 species